CACGUAUCAACUGCGCUGUUUGCAACAACCAACGGAUCGGCCUCUUCAUCCACUGCGCUCCGCAACAGAAAGUAAAGCAGUUUGAAGAAUUUCAGAAAAAUGAGUGCAUUGGACACAAAGUACUAGCUGCUGAACCGACAGCACCCAGACCAGAAAUUUCAGCACCGCCACCAGAAAUAACCCCUCAAGGACCACCCACAGGACCUCCAGGACCUCCUGAACCUCUAGAAGCAUGAUGGCUCUGUGGUGGUUUAAUGUCAUCUGAAAUACUGUGCUACCUUCCCUUUGCCUGAAUGUACUCUACUAGGGCUGCUUAUUUUCAGUGAUUAAAUGCUUUUCACAAUGA